GACGUAGGGGGCAAGCGUUGUCCGGAAUCAUUGGGCGUAAAGAGCGUGUAGGCGGCUCGAUAAGUCCGCUGUGAAAGUCCAGGGCUCAACCCUGGGAUGCCGGUGGAUACUGUCGGGCUCGAGUCCGGAAGAGGAGUGUGGAAUUCCUGGUGUAGCGGUGGAAUGCGCAGAUAUCAGGAGGAACACCAAUAGCGAAGGCAGCUGGCUGGGACGUUACUGACACUAAGGCGCGAAAGCGUGGGGAGCGAACAGG
rnacentral:rRNA from 1 species